rnacentral:rRNA from 1 species
GACGAACGCUGGCGGCGUGCUUAACACAUGCAAGUCGAACGAAAAGAGGGAAAGAGCUUGCUCUUUCCGGAAUUGAGUGGCAAACGGGUGAGUAACACGUAAACAACCUGCCUUCAGGAUGGGGACAACAGACGGAAACGACUGCUAAUACCGAAUAAGUUCCAAGAGCCGCAUGGCCCAUGGAAGAAAAGGUGGCCUCUACCUGUAAGCUAUCGCCUGAAGAGGGGUUUGCGUCUGAUUAGCUGGUUGGAGGGGUAACGGCCCACCAAGGCGACGAUCAGUAGCCGGUCUGAGAGGAUGAACGGCCACACUGGAACUGAGACACGGUCCAGACUCCUACGGGAAGCAGCAGUGGGGAAUCUUCCGCAAUGGGCGAAAGCCUGACGGAGCAACGCCGCGUGAGUGAUGACGGCCUUCGGGUUGUAAAACUCUGUGAUCCGGGACGAAAAGGCAGAGUGCGAAGAACAAACUGCAUUGACGGUACCGGAAAAGCAAGCCACGGCUAACUACGUG